GACGAACGCUGACAGAAUGCUUAACACAUGCAAGUCUUUGGCGAAUCUGUGCUUGCACAGGUUAGCCAGGGCGGACGGGUGAGUAACGCGUAAAGAACUUCCCCUGCAGACAGGGAUAACAGACGGAAACGACUGAUAACACCUGCUACAAUUGCCGGCGCGUAUGUGCCUGGCAAUGAAAAGAGAUGCUGCAGGAGAGCUUUGCGUCCUAUUAGCUUGUUGGUGAGGUGGCGGCUCACCAAGGCGAUGUAAGGUAGCCGGCCUGAGAGGGAGAGCGGCCACAAGGGGACUGAGAUACCGCCCUUACUCCUACGGGAGGCAGCAGUGGAGAAUAUUGGACUAUGCGGGCAACCCUGAUCCAGCAAUUCUGUGUGGACGAAGGAGCUUUUCGGAUUGUAAAGUGCUUGCAGCAGGGAAGGAGAAAGUGACGGUACCUGGAGAAGAAGCGACGGCUAAAUACGUG
rnacentral:rRNA from 1 species